rnacentral:rRNA from 1 species
GAUGAACGCUGGCGGCGUGCCUAAUACAUGCAAGUCGAGCGAACGGACGAUAAGCUUGCUUCUCUGAUGUUAGCGGCGGACGGGUGAGUAACACGUGGAUAACCUACCUAUAAGACUGGGAUAACUUCGGGAAACUGGAGCUAAUACCGGAUGAUAUUUUGAACCGCAUGGUUCAAAAGUGAAAGACGGUCUUGCUGUCACCUAUAGAUGGAUUCGAGCUGUAUUAGCUAGUUGGUAAGGUAAUGGCUUACCAAGGCAACGAUGCAUAACCGACCUGAGAGGGUGAUCGGCCAACCAGGAACUGAGACGCGGUCCAGACACCUACGGAAGACAACAGUAGGGAAUCUUCCGCAAUAGGCGAAAGCCUGACGGAGCAACGCCGCGUGAGUGAUGAAGGUCUUCGGAUCGUAAAACUCUGUUAUUAGGGAAGAACAUAUGUGUAAGUAACUGUGCACGUCUUGACGGUACCUAAUCAGAAAGCCACGGCUAACUACGUG